rnacentral:lncRNA from 10 species
ACUUUUAUUUUGGUAGACACUAUGACCCUAUAGUCAAAAUCUUUUCUCCCUAACAACAGGACUUCAGUUUAGUUGAGGGUAACAAUGUACCUCCAUUGUGAAACAGAUCUACAGAAUGAGAUAUAAGUGGAAAUACUGGUGGUGCUUCCAUCAAAGCUCAAGACAGCCAGGUUAAGUUGGCACAUACCUUCUGUCUUUUGUCUUCCCAUCUUCCUGCCUGGGACAUUGAUGUAAUGUUCAGGAUGGACAUGCGUCUUGUGACUAUGAGGUGACAAUGAUGUUAAUGACAUCUGAGUGGAAAGAAGAUGAAGCCUAGAUUCCUGAACACAUUCAGACCUGCCACAGCAACCUAGCUCUGAACUCCCUUCAAACAGAAUUUCACUCUUGUGGCCCAGGCUGGAGUGCAAUGGCGUGAUCUCAGCUCACUGCAACUUCUACCUCUCGGAUUCAAGUGAUUCUCCUGCCUCAGCCUCCCAGGUAGCUGGGUUUACAGGAAUGAAAUGGACGUUCUUACUCAUCAUACCAUAAGCAUCCAGGUGAAUGAUUGCUCACUUCUUUCAUCUAAUGAGGAAUUGGCUUUCUUGAGAAUCUCAAUGCAGUGUACCUCCAACCUUAACAGACUGCUGUAAAACACCCUGACCAUUCUUUAGUAUAAGCACUGAAGAAGACAGUAUGUUGACCACGAGGCACCUGGCCUGGCUCAUAGUAUGCCAUCAAGAAAUGCUAAUUUUCUAUUUCCUCUUUUUCAAAGAGUUAUUUCAAGAAAGAAAGGAGAGGAGAGGAUGUUACAAAUUCCAUGUAAAUAAAAUUUGUCACUAAUUCUGUGAACUAAUUGAUAUCAUAAUUUGAUUCUCUUACCUCUUUUUAAUCUCUCUAUUAGUCCAUUUUUAUGCUGUGAAUAAAGACAUACCUGAGACUGGGCAAUUUACAAAAGAA